ACAUACGGCCACAGACACAGGAAAAUACGGGAUCCCGUCCGCUCUCCCAGAGUCAAACCCGUGAUCGCCGAAUUAGUAGUUGGGUCGGUGACGACCAGCGAAUACUCGGUGCUGUAUGUU
rfam:Diaporthe ampelina DA_912_scaffold_v01_375, whole genome shotgun sequence.